CACAGCCAUCUUUCAUUUCAGCUCUGCAGGAUUGAAAUCAAUGGAAUUAGGUGAUACCAAUGGGAUGCAAAAGGCUUUCUGCAAGCAGAGUGGGCUGUGCUUUACGUGCUAGCCCACCUCUGGCCAAGGACAGGCUUUGUGGUGUGUGGAUGCCAUGAUAAAGACAUUGCAAACGCUUUUCUUACUGUUCUAGGAGCUCCAGUUGCUACUCUUGGUGCAAACACAGAGAAAACCCUACCCAAGCCUGAAGCUGGGGAGAAAAGAAUGGUUCCUAAUAAUCUUCAUCUUUACUUGGCACGUUUGGUUUGAAGAAGAUGGAGGUGAAGGAUUGAUCUAGAGGCCACAUGGAAAAGCAAGAGAAGUGUGUAAGUGGCUGUGCAGUUAGUGGGGGAGCCAGUGCUUUUGACACUGGUGCCUCACCACUGGCCCUUUCUAGGGCUUUCUUGCUGUCCUGGAAAGGGUUGGAAACCAGCUCUGGAAAAGGCUGCAGUAGUUUUCAGUGAAGAGUUCUGCUGUGCCCUGAAUUAUUUAUAAGCAUCAGGAUGUAAGGACAUCAUGUUCACCCUCCAGCACUGAGAAAGGCUGCAAAUAAUCUAAUAUAUUACUCAUGCAAAAA